rnacentral:rRNA from 1 species
GACGAACGCUGGCGGCAUGCCUAACACAUGCAAGUCGAACGGAACUUGUUGAAUGAAGUCUUCGGAUGGAUUUUAGCAAGUUUAGUGGCGGACGGGUGAGUAACGCGUGAGGAACCUGCCUUUCAGUGGGGGACAACAGUUGGAAACGACUGCUAAUACCGCAUAAUACUAUUGAGUGGCAUCACUUGAUAGUCAAAGAUUUAUUGCUGAAAGAUGGCCUCGCGUCUGAUUAGCUAGUUGGUGGGGUAACGGCCCACCAAGGCGACGAUCAGUAGCCGGACUGAGAGGUUGACCGGCCACAUUGGGACUGAGAUACGGCCCAG